AUGAACGCUGGCGGCUUGCCUAAUACAUGCAAGUCGAGCGAACAGACGAGGAGCUUGCUCCUCUGACGUUAGCGGCGGACGGGUGAGUAACACGUGGCUAACCUACCUAUAAGACUGGGAUAACUUCGGGAAACCGGAGCUAAUACCGGAUAAUAUAUUGAACCGCAUGGUUCAAUAGUGAAAGACGGUUUUGCUGUCACUUAUAGAUGGAUCCGCGCCGCAUUAGCUAGUUGGUAAGGUAACGGCUUACCAAGGCAACGAUGCGUAGCCGACCUGAGAGGGUGAUCGGCCACACUGGAACUGAGACACGGUCCAGACUCCUACGGGAGGCAGCAGUAGGGAAUCUUCCGCAAUGGGCGAAAGCUUGACGGAGCAACGCCGCGUGAGUGAUGAAGGUCUUCGGAUCGUAAAACUCUGUUAUUAGGGAAGAACAAAUGUGUAAGUAACUAUGCACGUCUUGACGGUACCUAAUCAGAAAGCCACGGCUAACUACGUG
rnacentral:rRNA from 1 species